ensembl:lncRNA
GAGUUUCCAGAGCUCCAGGGGAAGAUGCGCUCCGUGCUGAGGCUGGAGGUGGAGGCAGUGCGUUUCCUUAAGGAGGAGCCUCUUAAGAUGGACUCUAUGUUAAAGAGGGUCAAAGCCCUGACUGAAACCCUCAGCUCUCUUCGCAGGUGUGUGUCAGAGUCAACUCCGACAGGUAAAUCAGCCCAGGUGGAGCCAAUAAAAGUCCUGGAAACAGACCAACAGAGUCCUCAGAGCUCCCCCAAACCUCAGCCCCGAUCCUCAGUUAGACCCCCUCUUCCCACUCCGCCUCUUUCUGGAGAGGCUGAUGUCAGCUUGGCAGGUUCUGCCUCCCCUAUCAUGGCACGAAGAAUGAAUAGCACAGCAGCCUCAGCAGGCCAGCCCUCGCACCACCACCCUAGCCCCCCUCUGACAACCUCUCAUGGACGAAACUCACCCACCGUAGCCAAGGUAAGUCCUCACUCCAGAGAGGGUAGCCCAGCCCUGCAGAGAAAACCAGGCCUUCAGCACCUUGAUGGACUGGACAAACCUGCAGCAACAAUAGCACAGGAGGGCUACAGUGACCAGACCACGACUGCAGAGAGACAGACUCCAGAGGGCAGUCUUAGUGUAGAAACCAGCAGUGUUAACCUGUCCAGCUCUAUCCAGGCUAACCAACCAGCCAGCUCUGAUUCCAGUCAGACUCAACCCUCCAACACCAGCACAGACACCAGCACAGUCCGGGCCAGCCCAGUGGAUCCUAUAUGUGAUGUGUCAGAUCACACACAGAGCGGCCCCCAUUCUGCCUCAGGACAGACAUGUCCCACUGCACCCAAGCAAGAAACACCUCUGACAUUUCCAGCCUCAGUGGAGCAGGAAGACAUGUCUCCUAAGCUGAGUGAUGAGGUGGACUCCACCCAGUUUAAACCUCCAGACACAGCUCCAGCCUCACAGCCUCCUGCAGCCACAGUGGAGCCUCCUCCAUCAGCUGCUCCAUCAACUGCUCAUCAGCACCUCCAUCACCUGCUGCUUCAUCAUCUUCUUCAAGCACGGAGCGUUGUGGCCGGCCUCAGAUGGAGAAACCCCGCCGCUCUAGUGUGGACAAGGAGAUGAAACAGAGUCCAGACCGGGCUGGCAAGUCUCCUCCACCUCCUCCUCCACGGAGGUUCCAUGCUGUCAGUUCAGGUGUUAGCACCGGAAGGUCAGGAGAUGCAGUCUUGACAAUCAGAAAGGAGCCUGUUGGAGCACAGGAUGAUGAUGACAAAGAGAAAGAGCCUAUGGUUCCUCAGCCCAAACCCCCUAGACAGCCACCAGAGGUCAAACCCAAACCCCAGAUGUGUGCUCCUGCACCUCUGCCUGGGUCUUCCUCCACCCCCGCCACAGCUCCAGCGUACAGGGAGGAUAAAGAGGAAGAGGAGGAAGAGGACAACAAAUUCAUGAAGGAGCUCCAGACUUCCAGCAGCAGCUCCAGCUCUUCUGCACAGCGAUCCAACACUAAGUCGUGCCACUCGUCCUCUUCCAGCUCACCAGAGAAGACAGCUAAGGGACAGCCGCCUGCCAACCAGAAGCAGCCCAGCCAGCCACGCCUUGUCACCAUCCCACGCUAACGUCAGCAGCAGCAAGCGCCAGCACCGCCUUGUCCUCGCCUCCACCUGCAGCUCCACCUCCACCACAAGCGCCCAACAAAGCUACUACUCCUCAUCAUCCUACUCCUCAUCCUCACCCUCCUCCUCCCCCACCUCGUCCUCCCUGUCCCCCACCUCAUCCUCCUCCUCCCCUCCCUCCCCAUCCUCCUCCCUCCUCCCCACCAUGGUGAGUCAGGGCAGGGAGCACACGAAUGUCAGCAACCAACCCUGGCUCUCCAUUCCACGGCAGGAAACGCAGCAGGAGCCAAGCUGUCCACACACUGCGCACCACAACAGCGACAGCGGCCUCAAAGGACACGUCAUGAUGGUCUUCAGCUACUGCCCAGACUUUAAAGGUGCUGGUGUGAAUUCCAGCUGAGAAAAGCAAAGUUGCACUUUGUUCAUAGAGCAAUAUCAUAUGUUGUUUACCUUUGGACGUGGUUGGACAGACUGAGGAGGAGCCCGACCUACACACCUGCAGGGCUGAUGUUAGCUGAGCUUAAUAACAAACUGUAGCACUGCCAUACCAAAGACAUUUAAAAGCAGUAAAACCCUCCCAUUGAUAACCACUGGCAGCUCUGGCAGCCAUCGUUCCUCUGUGGACCUCAGGUUAAAGCCACAGGGGUGUGGUUAGCAAGAAGGCAGGGCUGCAGACGGAAAACAACCAUUAACCCAUUAAACAUCUAUGCAAUGAUAAAGAAAUUCAACAGACCUCUCUACUAAAUACCAAUACAAUACACACAGUAUCAUAGUAGCACUGUUGUGUGUGGAACAAUGUUUAUUUCUGCUUGUUUGGUUUGAAUUGUUUAAUUUAAUGUACAUUUAAAAUCUGUGUAAAAAGUGUAAAUAAAAACAACUGCAGUGAAUGGCA